rnacentral:ncRNA from 1 species
UUGUUGUAUGAAAGGAGAGAAGAUUAGCACUCCCCUUGACAAUGAUGGAAGUGGUCCUAGUGGCCUUAUAAUACAUAUACGGUUAAGGCAUUGCCACAUACUUUGUGACAUCUCUAACCAUGUAAUCAU